rnacentral:lncRNA from 1 species
UUUAAACAGGAUGUGUCAUCAGAUGGUGGGAGUAUCUGGAAGCCAGUAGGGAACAAUGAAGCAGCAGCCAUGGAGGGCCUGAGGGAGGCAGCCAGGAUGACUGGAGGGAUGGAAGCUGUUGCUGUGUCCCCCAGAGAAGGGAAGAAAAGGCACCUGGACUCUGGCUUCCCUUUCUGCUCUCAGCAGCACCUCACAGUGGCCAAGCCCACCUGGAAGGCUGCGGGCAGAGAAGGCAGUACCCUGGGCUGAAGAGGCUGCCCUCCUGGGCUACAGCAGAGCAGGAGAGGGAGGAGGAGGGGCACUGAGCAGACAGGAGUGUCAGUCAGGAUGACCCUGGCCCUGCAUCCUCUGGGAGGUUAUCAAUGAAAUCCGCCACCUUAAGUAGUUCAGGCUGAUGGGACGAGAAUGCUGGGUUAUGUAAUUGUCACGGUGUUCACUGAGGCAGAUAACUAGAACAAAUAUAAACUUAUUUGUUCCUGAGAUUUGUUCCUUAAAUCUCAUUAAGGCUUCUUAAGCAUUCACAAGAUUGAAGCCACCUUUGCCAGAGGUUAGGAUUA